rnacentral:rRNA from 1 species
UAAUGUCUGGGAAACUGCCUGAUGGAGGGGGAUAACUACUGGAAACGGUGGCUAAUACCGCAUAACGUCGCAAGACCAAAGAGGGGGACCUUCGGGCCUCUUGCCAUCAGAUGUGCCCAGAUGGGAUUAGCUUGUUGGUGAGGUAACGGCUCACCAAGGCGACGAUCCCUAGCUGGUCUGAGAGGAUGACCAGCCACACUGGAACUGAGACACGGUCCAGACUCCUACGGGAGGCAGCAGUGGGGAAUAUUGCACAAUGGGCGCAAGCCUGAUGCAGCCAUGCCGCGUGUAUGAAGAAGGCCUUCGGGUUGUAAAGUACUUUCAGCGGGGAGGAAGGUGUUGUGGUUAAUAACCGCAGCAAUUGACGUUACCCGCAGAAGAAGCACCGGCUAACUCCGUGCCAGCAGCCGCGGUAAUACGGAGGGUGCAAGCGUUAAUCGGAAUUACUGGGCGUAAAGCGCACGCAGGCGGUCUGUCAAGUCGGAUGUGAAAUCCCCGGGCUCAACCUGGGAACUGCAUUCGAAACUGGCAGGCUUGAGUCUUGUAGAGGGGGGUAGAAUUCCAGGUGUAGCGGUGAAAUGCGUAGAGAUCUGGAGGAAUACCGGUGGCGAAGGCGGCCCCCUGGACAAAGACUGACGCUCAGGUGCGAAAGCGUGGGGAGCAAACAGGAUUAGAUACCCUGGUAGUCCACGCCGUAAACGAUGUCUACUUGGAGGUUGUGCCCUUGAGGCGUGGCUUCCGGAGCUAACGCGUUAAGUAGACCGCCUGGGGAGUACGGCCGCAAGGUUAAAACUCAAAUGAAUUGACGGGGGCCCGCACAAGCGGUGGAGCAUGUGGUUUAAUUCGAUGCAACGCGAAGAACCUUACCUGGUCUUGACAUCCACAGAAGAAUCCAGAGAUGGAUUUGUGCCUUCGGGAACUGUGAGACAGGUGCUGCAUGGCUGUCGUCAGCUCGUGUUGUGAAAUGUUGGGUUAAGUCCCGCAACGAGCGCAAC